AUAAAAUCGCCACCACCACGAAACAAAACCCUAACACCUUCCCCCCAAUUCCCAUGGCUCCAAAACGGAAACAGGAGCCCGAAGACAUAGUAGGAGAGGGAGAAUUCGAAGAAGAAGAAGACGACGAACAAGUGGUCGAAGAGGAUAUUCCAGAGAUGAACCAAUCCGGAGAGGAUCCCUCCGCGAACACUCUUAAUCACAAUUCCGCCGACGAAGAACUUGAGGAAGAGCCCUUCGAGAAGCUUCUCGAGCCCUUCUCCAAGGACCAGCUCACUCUCCUAAUCAAGGAAGCUCUCGCAAAACACCCAGAUCUAGCCGCGAUUGUGCACGCCAUGGCCGACUCCGACCCCGCCCACUGUAAGAUCUUCGUCCACGGCCUCGGCUGGGAUGCCAACGACGAUUCAAUUACGUCUGUUUUUGGCAAGUACGGUGAUAUUGAAGAUUGUAAAUUGGUCAGAGACAAGAACACCGGGAAAUCGAAGGGCUACGGCUUCAUUCUCUUCAAGCGGCGCGACGGUGCUCGUCGCGCCCUUAAGGAGCCUCAGAAGUUGAUUGAAGGCAGGAUGACUUGUUGCCAGCUGGCCUCAGCCGGCCCCGUGCACACUCCCGCGCAGUCUGCUCCAGCAAUUGUUGCUUUACCACCUGCUUCGGAGUACACGCAGAGGAAGAUAUAUGUUAGCAAUGUGUCUGCGGAGCUUGAGCCGAAGAAGCUUUUCGACUAUUUUUCGAAAUUUGGGGAAAUUGAGGAAGGGCCUCUGGGGUUGGAUAAACAGACUCGGAAGCCUAGGGGGUUCUGUUUGUUUGUGUAUAAGAGUAGCGAGAGUGCGAAAAAAGUGCUGGAGGAGCCGCACAAGCAAUAUGAGGGUCAUAUACUGCAUUGCCAGAAGGCGAUAGAUGGCCCUAAACACAGCAAGGGUCACUUUAACAAUCAGCAACAGGGGUAUCAGCAUCACCAGGCCAAGAGGGGGAGGUAUGCUGGACACGGUGGUGGUCACUUGAUGGCUCCGAGCGCUGGACUGGCUGUUCCUUCUGGAGGGUUUGGUCCAGCAGUUGCCCCGGCCGCGAUAGGGCAGGCUGUGGCAGCUCUGUUGGCCACUCAGGGGGCUGGAUUGGGUAUUGGGAAUUUACUCGGGGGGAUUGGAAAUGCGCAGGGAGUGCCGCCUAUGAUGAACAAUGCAGAUUUCGGAGGUCAGGGUGCUGGUGGAGGCUAUGGAGGUCAACCUGGUAUGCAGGGAGGUUAUGGUGGCCAGCCACAGAUGGGUCCGGGUGGUGUAAGGCCACAUCUGGGUGGGGCACCCUAUAUGGGUCAUGGUCACUAGGUAACCGGAGGUAUGUCGAUAUUUUUUACUAUGUCCUUACUCUGGUCUUUAAAUUUACGCUACUUAGCUGUGAUGCCUGAGUAUAUCAAUUAGUGCCAAAAUGCAUACGUACGGACUCUAGAGUGUCUUACUCAAUAGUUACUUUUGAUUAAUUGAAGCAGAGGAAGAUUUCUAAUGUUUAAAAUAUGUAGUGUUCAAACUUUUAUUAGGGAUAUAUAUCCUGCCCACCAUCUAGGAGCAAACAUGAACACUAGUUAAUCUCCCCCCAUGGAGAACAUAUAGGGAAAUCUUUCCUAAAGUUAUUGGUUUUAUGUUUUAGUACUCCCUCCGUCCGUGAAAAGUAUGAACAUUUGGUUCGGCUCGGGUUUUAAUGUAUAGUUAGUAAAGUAAGAGAGAUGGAGAUAAAGGGUAGUGUUAGUGAGAGUGGGCUCUACAUCAUUAAGAGUGUAGUGUAUUGGUAUAUGUUGUAAAUAACAUGAUAUGUAGGGGUAAUUUGUUGUUUAACUAUUCCAAAAUUAGAAAGUUCAUACUUUUCAGGGUCGGACUACUAAGGAAAUAGUUCAUACUUUUUAUGUACAGAGGGAGUAUUAUUGAUGGUUAUAACACAAAUCUCCACCAUAUAUUUUGUCAUCAAUGAUUCAAUCAGGGUCUUUAGUUAUACUGGGUGAUGAAAACACGAAGCUUAGGAAACUUAUCCAUAAUAUGUUGGGGCUGUGGCUUAACCAUUAAAUUGAUUGAAUAUGUACAUAUUUGUAUAGUGAGGAGACCUUUGAUCUGGAACUUGUACUUCAAUAAAUAGUGAACUUGGACUAAAAAUUACUUGAACUUCUUCACCAUUGGAGAUCACUUAGAUGAUGGAAGUGGACGUUUAAAUAUGUUCGCAUUAAAUGGAUGAUUGUUACGAGGUCAAGUAGUGAAAAAUUAAAAACAAGCUCGACUGUAUGUAUUAAUAUCCUUCCGCGCUAUUCCAAAAAAUUAGGCCAUCUGCAAAAAAGAUUAAUGCUUUGCGCAUCUUUUUUUGAAACACUUUUUAUUAAAACUCCUGCUGUGAUUAUGACUCGAUAGUUAUAUUUGCUCUCGUCAUUCAGGUAAUAUUAAUUUUUGGUUCAGUAACCAUCCACAUGUUUCUCAUAAUUCUUCAUAAAUGCAUCAAACUUUUAGUUUUGGACUCUGGUGAUUCUUCUGAAGUUCGGGCAAUCAUGCAAAUGAAGUCCUUCCUUGUAGCAAAAAGUUUCCAUUUGCCUAAAGACUAGAAUCUAAAAUAUGUAUCAUGUUUCUCUUUUUCUUACUUCUAUCUGUCUGAAUAUUUUCUAAAACGUCUUACUUUGGUCUUAUUACAACUUUUUCAAAGGGUUGAGAACCAGUGGCUUGAUUCCUACUUCUUUGUCUUUGAGAUUUGAGGGUGUCGGUUUACUAUAUAUUUUACUUUGAAUUUUAGCAUUAA